GAUGAACGCUGGCGGCGUGCUUAACACAUGCAAGUCGAACGAAGCACUUUAUUUGAUUUCCUUCGGGACUGAUUAUUUUGUGACUGAGUGGCGGACGGGUGAGUAACGCGUGGGUAACCUGCCUUGUACAGGGGGAUAACAGUUGGAAACGGCUGCUAAUACCGCAUAAGCGCACAGCAUCGCAUGAUGCAGUGUGAAAAACUCCGGUGGUAUAAGAUGGACCCGCGUUGGAUUAGCUAGUUGGUGAGGUAACGGCCCACCAAGGCGACGAUCCAUAGCCGACCUGAGAGGGUGACCGGCCACAUUGGGACUGAGACACGGCCCAAACUCCUACGGGAGGCAGCAGUGGGGAAUAUUGCACAAUGGGCGAAAGCCUGAUGCAGCGACGCCGCGUGAGCGAAGAAGUAUUUCGGUAUGUAAAGCUCUAUCAGCAGGGGAGAUAAUGACGGUACCUGACUAAGAAGCACCGGCU
rnacentral:rRNA from 1 species